rnacentral:sRNA from 1 species
UGUCUCUGUCUUUUUCAGCUACAUUG